rnacentral:rRNA from 1 species
AUGGCUUCUCCUGAGGACGCCAUCUCAUCCACGAGCGGCGGUGCCUCGGCGGCCGCUAAACCUAACCUGGAAGAUUUUUUUGACCAGCUAGAUCUCAAUGAAGAAGAGUUCAAUGAUGUUGAAAUCGACGAGGACGAUCCAGUGAUCAAGGAAAGUGUUCGGUGGCUUGCCCUCGCAAGGGUGCAUACCGAGAAGAGCUUCUCUCCCUCCGCCUUCUACAAGGACAUGAGGGCGGCUUGGAACCCUGCGCAACUGGUGAGAUUCCGGCCCGUUGGCCCCAAUAGAUUUGUGGUUCAAGCAUCCUGCUUGGGAGAUUGGGAACGCAUCACGACGCAAGGGCCAUGGAUCUUUCGUAACAUGGCGGUGUUGUUAUGCCCGUACGAUGGAUUCAGCAGGGCUGAGGAUGUCGUGUUUGAUUAUAUGCCAAUCUGGCUACAGAUACACAAAUUGCCUGACCCUUUUUGCAAAGAAAACAUUGUAGAGAAAUUUCUCAAGGGGGCAGGGGAAAUUCUGAAGAUGCGUUUGAACGGGAAUACCCGUGGAGAUUACGUAAGGGUGAGGGUUAAUCAUGAUAUCCAAAAGCCCCUUACGAAGUUUGUGAGCAUAGUCUGAGCCAAGGAGAGGCAGGUUUACUUGGUGCGCUACGAGAAAUUGGCUCGUUUUUGCAAGGCUUGCGGUCUGAUCGGCCAUGAUCAUAAAGAGUGCGGUCUGGGAAUUCAUGAUGUAAAGAAGCUCAAGUACGGGGAUUGGAUGUAUGCCGAUGGUCCGAACAGGUCCAGGACGGAUCUGAACAAUGGCAAUGCGUCUAAUCCACGGCAACAGGGGAGGCCGAGUAGCCCGGUAGGCACCCCAAAACCUUCAACGAAAGAACAAGACCCAGAUACUAGGGACACAUCUACAAGUCCUUUAAAGGAUCACAUGGCUAGGAUGGAGGUGGACCGGGAUGCUAGGAAGAAGCUGAACAUGGAGGAUGACACAGUUGAGGCAAACAGGUCUGCCGGUUCUCUGAAACAGGUCCUUGCUAUCACUGAUGGUAGUGGGACGGAUUUGGGCACACCUGCUUCGCCGACGAGUAGCACGUCAAGCAGCAAACGUGCAAGACUCGCCAAGGAGAAUGACACCAAUGAGAUAUCGGCGGCCUCCCUCGAGGAGGAGCGCUGA